rnacentral:rRNA from 1 species
GACGAACGCUGGCGGCGUGCUUAACACAUGCAAGUCGAACGGUAAGGCCCUUCGGGGUACACGAGUGGCGAACGGGUGAGUAACACGUGGGUGAUCUGCCCUGCACUUCGGGAUAAGCCUGGGAAACUGGGUCUAAUACCGGAUAGGACCCUGGGAUGCAUGUCCUGGGGUGGAAAGCUUUUGCGGUGUGGGAUGGGCCCGCGGCCUAUCAGCUUGUUGGUGGGGUGAUGGCCUACCAAGGCGACGACGGGGAGCCGGCCUGAGAGGGUGACCGGCCACACUGGGACUGAGAUACGGCCCAGACUCCUACGGGAGGCAGCAGUGGGGAAUAUUGCACAAUGGGCGCAAGCCUGAUGCAGCGACGCCGCGUGAGGGAUGACGGCCUUCGGGUUGUAAACCUCUUUCAGCACCGACGAAGCGCAAGUGACGGUAGGUGCAGAAGAAGGACCGGCCAACUACGUGCCAGCAGCCGCCGUAACAC